UACGUAGGUGACAAGCGUUGUCCGGAUUUAUUGGGCGUAAAGAGCGUGUAGGCGGCCAAACAGGUCCACUGUGAAAACUCGAGGCUCAACCUCGAGAGGUCGGUGGAAACCGUCUGGCUAGAGUCCGGAAGAGGAGAGUGGAAUUCCCGGUGUAGCGGUGAAAUGCGCAGAUAUCGGGAAGAACACCCGUGGCGAAGGCGGCUCUCUGGGACGGUACUGACGCUGAGACGCGAAAGCGUGGGGAGCGAACAGG
rnacentral:rRNA from 1 species